UUUAUUUGUGAAAAAUAUCCGAAACAAUUAUAACUUGAUAACCGACGAACAGAGAAAAAUGUCGUUUAAAAUUGUUAUUGUUCACAUUGUCGUGUUUGCAUUGGUACAGUUAAUUCAAGCAGAAUUAUGUAAGUUAGCUCGAGUUUCCGUUCCAUUAACAGAAUGCAAAGAACAGUGUGAAGUUAUAGGAGGACCUUUGAUGAAGUGUCCAUCAGGACUACAAUGCUGUUUACUGGGAUGAAUAUUUGAUUAAUUAUUGCAGUGUGUCGGACUUGUAAAGAUUUGAAAUUAAACUUGAACCUUGAUUGACCGAAUU